CAGAGCUUGGCAGCAUAGCAGCUAAAAGCUGCUUCAGCAUGUUUGUUCUGACAGCUGAGCCAACUCUGACCCGCAGCCCCACCACCUAUGUCACCACAGUCACUGAUGGGUUGAAGCAAGCAGCCAUAUCACUUCCUCAGGUUUCCUCCAACAGCUUCCAGGAUGAAUCCACUAAAACGAUGAGGAGUCAGACACAAGCCGUGCAGUACAAUACUCAAUACUCCUCCAGUGGAUUUCAGCAGGCCUCCCUCGCCAACAACACUCUAAGGAGCACUGGGCAGAGCGUGCAGCAAACGUGGAACAGGUCCAGCACAAUGAGAAACGGACGGAACGGAUUCUCCAGAUCCAUUAGCUUGACUUCUGAUCGCUACAUUGCAGACCACAUUGACAGAAGAGUCUACGAGAUUGCUGAGGAGGAGUUGGAUUACCCAGGAUACUCUCUGAAUGAGUUUGCGUACGAGGGGAAUGGAAGUAGGUGCCAGUCACUGGACGAACUCUCGUUUGACAACGCAGAGGAAAGCAUGGAUUUCCUCCGAGACCUGGGGCCGAACUUUAAAGCCCUUGGCGGGAUAUGCGAUAAGCACAUGCAGGAGAAAAACAUGGAGCUCUAAAAAAGAUGGAAAAAUGGAGUGCUCCUUCUCCAUGUGGCCAGGGGACAUUCUGGGAGCACAGAAAAGGAAUGGAAAGCCAGAAAUCUACCAUAAAUUUGGUCUUCUUUUUUGUAAUGCUGUACAUUUUAACAUCUGAUUCGGACCAUAAUGAAGUGGAAAGUAGACUUUGGAUUUACUGCCACUGGAAUUUUCAAGCCCUUGAUUGACAAGAAGAAUCUCAAACAACAACAUGUUUUUGGAUUUAAUACAUGCAUUUGUAUGUGAAGAUAUUGUUUUAAAAAAAUUGCCACGAUACCGAAGGUGCACUGUUCAAACAAGUCCACUGGACUGUAUCCACACACCUUGUUCUUCAUCAAAAACACCAGAGGAACCUUGCCAAAUAAGAAGACCUUGCCAAUUAUCUACACCCAAACUGCUCUGCCAGACACGCCUCUCUGUAGAAUGACAUGUCUGAACAAACAAAUGUUCUUCCACCCUUCUAAAAGUGGUUCCUCAUAUCAAAGGUAAUAGCCCUACGCAUGUGCUCUGUGGCUGGUUGGUAUCCUUUGCUCGUUUGGUUAAGAGGUGUAAAAGAUCAUGUUGACAGUCAAAAGAAAAAGAGGCAAAAGAAAAAACUUCUGAACCUACACCUUUGAUGGACAUUAAUGAACAGAAAAGAUACUUUUUAUAAUUUGUAAUGCUUGUAUCUUUGUUUUCUGCCUAAAGAAAGGCACAAGCCGCAUGCAAUGCAGAACAAUAAUUGAAUAAGAUAGAGUUUGACUGUUUUUUUUUUGUAUGCAUUACAUUUUUAAUUCAGAGCUAUAUAACAUUUUUUACUUUAUAGUGUAAAUGACAUGAAAGGUGUGACAGCGUUGUUUGCAUGGUUUUAACUUGAACAAGGGCAUAGUCAAAUAUGGCUGCUUAACUACUACUGUACUCGUCUGUAAUUGUGAUUCUGCUUUAAGGUUGUCCUAAAAUGGUUAAUUCUUGCUAAUUCAAAACAAUACCAUUUUCACAUAUGAAAAACAAUAAAAUAUAUAUAAAACGUG
ensembl:lncRNA